rnacentral:rRNA from 1 species
GACGAACACUGGCGGCGUGCUUAACACAUGCAAGUCGAGCGGUAAGGCCCUUUCGGGGGUACACGAGCGGCGAACGGGUGAGUAACACGUGGGUGACCUGCCCUCAGCUCUGGGAUAAGCCCGGGAAACUGGGUCUAAUACCGGGAUAUGACUCCAUGACGCAUGUUGUGGGGUGGAAAGCCUUGUGCGGCUGAGGAUGGGCCCGCGGCCUAUCAGCUUGUUGGUGGGGUGAUGGCCUACCAAGGCGACGACGGGUAGCCGGCCUGAGAGGGCGACCGGCCACACUGGGACUGA